AUGCAGAACUUUUUUGGGUGGCUCGCGCACGGCGGCGCCGUCCAGCUCCCGCGGGCCAGCCAUCCGGUCGUCCACCCCGCUCCGCCGCCUCCCGUUCCGGAUGCUGCGGCACAGGCGCAGCCGCAGGGACAGGGCCCGCCCCCGCCCCCGGCUCCGGCUCCAGCUCCACCUCCGGCCCCGGCCCCGGCUCCGGCGGCAGAGGGAGAGAUACAGCCGGUGGCCCCGGCUGCGGCGGCAGAGGGACAGGGGCAGGCGGUGGCCCCGGCUCCGGCUCCGGCUGCGGCGGCGGAGGUGGAGGACGCGAACGCGAACGCGCCGCCGCCCGGGGUGGUGAUGGUGGACCUGAUGGGGGCGCCGGGGACGCGCUGGGGGCUCGGCACCCGCCUCGCGCAGGCGCUCCUCGCGGCCGCCGCCAUCGGCUUCAUGGCCUCCACCGACGACUUCAACGAGGUCACCGCCUUCCGCCUCCUCGUAACAGCAGAGGCCUUGCAAUGCCUGUGGAGCCUCGCUCUGGCCGCCGUUGACGUCUACGCACUUCUUGUCAAGCGCGCCUUCCGGACUCCUCGAGCUACCACCAUAUAUUCCAUUGGGGACUGGGUCACGGGAGCACUGACCUUCGCUGCAGCGAGCGGAUCGGCAGGCAUCACCGUUCUCAUCAACGACGACCUGAUGAUGUGCUCGGAGAACCACUGCCCGAGCUUCAUGGCCUCCACCUCCAUGGCUUUCUUCACCUGGUUCGCGAUCGCGCCGUCCUGCCUCUUUAACCUCAUGACAGCGGUGUACCGAGUGCAGAGGGCGUAG
rnacentral:rRNA from 1 species